UAUCUGCCACAAUGACCAUGUGGAUCCCAGAAAACAAUCUUGUGGAGUCAGUUCCUCUCCUCCAUCCUAUUUGGAUUCAACUCAGGUCUCCAGGCUCAUGUGGAUGGCAGAUGAGUCUAGACCAUGCAAAUGCCAGGAGAAGAGCCAAAAGGCAAAAUAUCUCCGUGCCAUCUCACACACCGAGAGCCCCCCAGAAGCCUCUGGGUUUCAUUUCCUCCAUCAGGAGCUCAGAUAACAGCAGCAGAGACAAUCACACACGAGUUAAGAAUGCAAAUACAGUUCUCAUUCCUUCUUAUGCUUUCUGUGCUGCUGGGGAUUGAACUCAGGACGUGUAAUAUCCCACACAGAUACUCUCUACUACUGAAUUACGUCUUCAGCCUGACAUUUUAUGGAAAAACACGGAGAAAAAUGGUAUCCUAUUGAAUAAAUCCUGGCUCUUCAAAACAAA
ensembl:lincRNA Gm29347 predicted gene 29347